CUUGCUUCUCCUAACUAAAACUCUUCCACCAUUAAAUAUAUAAUUAGUUGGCAAUUUGGCAUCCAACAUGUGUAUUCGCAUAUAUCUCUUAGUUACUCUAAUUAACAUUCCCAAUAAUAUAGUCUUUCGUGCUGAUGAUUUUCAAUAAAAUGCACCAAACAUGUCUAUUACUUGUUUUUAACAAAAUGUGAUCAACUAUAUUUAAUUAGCUGUUUUCCUGAUCAGCUGAUAUAUAGUGCUGGGAAUCAGACAAAGAAUCAAAGUGGUCUAAGGUAUUUUAUUUCUAUAUAUCUCCUUCAAAAACUUUUAUUUGGGAAGAAAAACGUCCAAGGUAUCGCUGAUAUUAUAUUAUCGUAUAUGUACCAACAACAAGAAUAGCUUUAAAUGAAAAACACUUAAAUAUCUUAUUUGUCAAAAAGAAAGAAAAAAAAAAUUAUAGCUUGAAAGAAGAUAAGAGAAAUGAGAUUGGCAUUUGCCGUGUCGCUCCUUCAGCCAGUCUCACUCUAGCUCUCCCUUUCGACGAGUUAUUAUCAUUUGGCCAUAGCAUUGUAUCAAGAGCCAAUACGCAAACUUAUAUUCGUUUUCCACUAUUAGAAACAACUAAACAACGAUUUGUAACGCACGUACAAUCACAGGCUCGUGUGAUGUAGAUCAUUUGCACAUUUCUAAUUGGUUGACUGAUUCUCUGCGAAGAGAAGUAUCGAGACCUUAAGUAUCAAAAAAGUAUCAAGA
rnacentral:lncRNA from 1 species